AGAUUAAGUUAUUAAGGGCGCACGGUGGAUGCCUUGGCACUAGAAGCCGACGAAGGACGUUACUAACGACGAUAUGCUUUGGGUAGCUGUAAGUAAGCGUUGAUCCAGAGAUUUCCGAAUGGGGGAACCCAGCACGAGUUAUGUCGUGUUAUCGACAAGUGAAUUCAUAGCUUGUCAGAAGGCAGACCCGGAGAACUGAAACAUCUUAGUACCCGGAGGAAGAGAAAGAAAAAUCGAUUCCCUGAGUAGCGGCGAGCGAAACGGGAAGAGCCCAAACCAAUAAGCUUGCUUAUUGGGGUUGUAGGACACUCUAUACGGAGUUACAAAGGAAUAUAUUAGACGAAUCAUCUGGAAAGUUGAAUCAAAGAAGGUAAUAAUCCUGUAGUUGAAAAUAUAUUCUCUCUUGAGUGGAUCCUGAGUACGACGGAGCACGUGAAAUUCCGUCGGAAUCUGGGAGGACCAUCUCCUAAGGCUAAAUACUCUCUAGUGACCGAUAGUGAACC
rnacentral:rRNA from 1 species